CAGCAGCCGCGGUAAUACGUAGGUCCCGAGCGUUGUCCGGAUUUAUUGGGCGUAAAGCGAGCGCAGGCGGUUAGAUAAGUCUGAAGUUAAAGGCUGUGGCUUAACCAUAGUACGCUUUGGAAACUGUUUAACUUGAGUGCAAGAGGGGAGAGUGGAAUUCCAUGUGUAGCGGUGAAAUGCGUAGAUAUGUGGAGGAACACCGGUGGCGAAAGCGGCUCUCUGGCUUGUGACUGACGCUGAGGCUCGAAAGCGUGGGGCGCAAACAGGAUUAGAUACCCCUGUAGUCCCUGUCUCUUAUACA
rnacentral:rRNA from 1 species